AUGGAACAAUCUCCUCUCUUGCGCUAUAAUUUCAAGUUAAUCAAUGAUAUAAAGGAUGUGUGCACAAAUCGGAUCAACGAUUUACCAGGGGAUUUUAA